rnacentral:misc_RNA from 1 species
CGCACAUUGCGCCCUUUGGUAUUCCUUAGGGCAUGCCUGUUCGAGCGUCAUCAAACCCCUCAAGCUCUGCUUGGUGUUAGGCGCUUGUCCCGCCAUUAGCGCGGACUCGCCUUGAAUCCAUUGGCGGCCUUCGUUUUGGGCUAUCGAGCGCAGCAGAGUCGCGCCUCGUGCCCAGCGCGUCGGCGUCCAGGAAGCACAAUCACAUUUUGACCUCGGAUUAGGUAGGGAUACCCGCUGAACUUAA